ensembl:lincRNA Gm43782 predicted gene 43782
UUCUACUCUCAGAGUCUUUUAAGGGUCUACCACUAGCCAGGCCAGGGGACGGACGAACAGACGGGGGCAGCUUUGAAAAGACCUCAGAGACGGAAAUAUUUCUCAGGAAAUGUCAAACUGGAAUAUCUACGUUAUAUCUACACAUGAAAUAAUAAAUCAAGUUCAGGUUUCUCCCAUCUGACCAAAAAAGAAAAUAGAAAAGAAACAAUAAAAUGGGUUUAGAAUAUUG